UACGGAGGAUCCGAGCGUUAUCCGGAUUUAUUGGGUUUAAAGGGUGCGUAGGCGGCCUUGUAAGUCAGGGGUGAAAGACGGUAGCUCAACUAUCGCAGUGCCUUUGAUACUGCAGGGCUUGAAUGUACUUGAGGUAGGCGGAAUGUGACAAGUAGCGGUGAAAUGCAUAGAUAUGUCACAGAACACCAAUUGCGAAGGCAGCUUACUAAAGUAUGAUUGACGCUGAGGCACGAAAAGCGUGGGGGAUCAAAACAGG
rnacentral:rRNA from 1 species